UACGUAGGGGGCUAGCGUUGCUCGGAAUCACUGGGCGUAAAGCGCACGUAGGCGGGUCGUUAAGUCGGGGGUGAAAUCCUGGAGCUCAACUCCAGAACUGCCUUCGAUACUGGCGAUCUUGAGUCUGGGAGAGGUGAGUGGAACUCCGAGUGUAGAGGUGAAAUUCGUAGAUAUUCGGAAGAACACCAGUGGCGAAGGCGGCUCACUGGCCCGGUACUGACGCUGAGGUGCGAAAGCGUGGGGAGCAAACAGG
rnacentral:rRNA from 1 species